rnacentral:rRNA from 1 species
UGUCCCUUGUUUUCUCUUAAGGGGUAAGGUCUGCCCAAUGAUUAUUUGAAUGGCCGCAGUAUCUUGACUGUGCAAAGGUAGCAUAAUCAAUUGUCUUUUAAUUGAAGUCUGGUAUGAAUGAUUUCAUGAAAAAUAAGCUGUUUCUUUAAUAAAUGUGAAUUUUUAAGGUAGGUGAAGAUACUUAUAUUAAUAUAAAAGACGAGAAGACCCUAUAAAGUUUUAUACUUUUUUUAAUUUAAUGAUAUUUUUAUAAAAUUUGUAUUUGAUUGGGGCAAUUACUGAAUAUGAAAAACUUCUUUGUUUAAAAAUAUAUUUGUGUAAAUUUUUAUAUGAUCCAAUUGUUUGACUAAUAGAAAAAAUUACUUUAGGGAUAACAGCGUAAUUUAUUUUUAGAGUUCUCAUCGAUGAAUAAGAUUGCGACCUCGAUGUUGGAUUAAGAUACCUUUAUGGUGCAGGUGCUUUAAGGGGUAGUCU